rnacentral:rRNA from 1 species
UACAGAGGGUGCGAGCGUUAAUCGGAAUUACUGGGCGUAAAGCGUGCGCAGACGGUCACGUAAGUCGGGUGUGAAAGCCCCGGGCUCAACCUGGGAAUUGCAUUCGAGACUGCGUGGCUAGGGUGCGGAAGAGGGAAGCGGAAUUUCCGGUGUAGCGGUGAAAUGCGUAGAUAUCGGAAGGAACAUCAGUGGCGAAAGCGGCUUCCUGGACCAGCACCGACGUUCAGGCACGAAAGCGUGGGGAGCAAACAGG